rnacentral:rRNA from 1 species
GACGAACGCUGGCGGCGUGCUUAACACACGCAAGUCGAACGGAAAGGCCCUGCUUUUGUGGGGUGCUCGAGUGGCGAACGGGUGAGUAACACGUGAGUAACCUGCCCUUGACUUUGGGAUAACUUCAGGAAACUGGGGCUAAUACCGGAUAGGAGCUCCUGCUGCAUGGUGGGGGUUGGAAAGUUUCGGCGGUUGGGGAUGGACUCGCGGCUUAUCAGCUUGUUGGUGGGGUAGUGGCUUACCAAGGCUUUGACGGGUAGCCGGCCUGAGAGGGUGACCGGCCACAUUGGGACUGAGAUACGGCCCAGACUCCUACGGGAGGCAGCAGUGGGGAAUAUUGCACAAUGGGCGGAAGCCUGAUGCAGCAACGCCGCGUGCGGGAUGACGGCCUUCGGGUUGUAAACCGCUUUCGCCUGUGAGGAAGCGUGAGUGACGGUAAUGGGUAAAGAAGCACCGGCUAACUACGUG